ACUUCUCAAGCACUCUCUGUUCAGAGAAUAGAAGAGAUGAACAUUAGGGGUUGAAAUGAGACUCCUGCCUGAACCAGGGAUUCCAACAACAGAUCCGGAAAUCCUUUACCAGCAGAUAGCCAGUUCUCAAUGCUAUCCUGCAGUGGGGGAGGGAAUGCAAGUCUGUCACCCUUUCCUUCACCACUCUGGCUUUGGACCAAAGAACAAGGUGCUGGAAGGCAAAACUGAAGAGUAAACCAACAAUGGAUGUGG
rnacentral:lncRNA from 10 species